GACGUAGGGUGCAAGCGUUGUCCGGAUUUAUUGGGCGUAAAGAGCUCGUAGGCGGCUCGUCGCGUCGGCUGUGAAAACCCGCAGCUCAACUGUGGGCUUGCAGCUGAUACGGGCGGGCUAGAGUUCGGUAGGGGAGACUGGAAUUCCUGGUGUAGCGGUGAAAUGCGCAGAUAUCAGGAGGAACACCGGUGGCGAAGGCGGGUCUCUGGGCCGAUACUGACGCUGAGGAGCGAAAGCGUGGGGAGCGAACAGG
rnacentral:rRNA from 1 species